rnacentral:rRNA from 1 species
AUUGAACGCUGGCGGCAUGCUUUACACAUGCAAGUCGAACGGUAACAGGCCGCAAGGUGCUGACGAGUGGCGAACGGGUGAGUAAUGCAUCGGAACGUGCCCAGUCGUGGGGGAUAACGCAGCGAAAGCUGCGCUAAUACCGCAUACGAUCUAUGGAUGAAAGCGGGGGACCGUAAGGCCUCGCGCGACUGGAGCGGCCGAUGUCAGAUUAGGUAGUUGGUGGGGUAAAGGCUCACCAAGCCAACGAUCUGUAGCUGGUCUGAGAGGACGACCAGCCACACUGGGACUGAGACACGGCCCAGACUCCUACGGGAGGCAGCAGUGGGGAAUGUUGGACAAUGGGCGCAAGCCUGAUCCAGCAAUGCCGCGUGCAGGAAGAAGGCCUUCGGGUUGUAAACUGCUUUUGUACGGAACGAAACGGCUCUCUCUAAUACAGGGGGUUAAUGACGGUACCGUAAGAAUAAGCACCGGCUAACUACGUGCCAGCCGCCGCGGUAACAC